rnacentral:lncRNA from 10 species
CAUCUGACUGUCACUCACGAGCUCAAGUGGCUUCGCCUCUCUGGGGCUCAUCUGCAAAAUGGAGAUAAACACAGUAACUCCCAGAAUCAUUCUGAGGAUCAAGGCAGUCAUGUGUGAAUGCAUUUUGUAAAAUACAGAGCACUGGGGAAUACUGAUUUUACUUUAACAAAAUAAAACUCUAGCUCUCUUUCUGGGAGGUUAGGAUACCAGCAGUAGGGUAACUUAAAGGGAGAGUACACCGAACAGGAAUCUCAAGUUGAAACAGGCACAAGUAUUGGCAAUGUAAGUUGGGAAGGCCACACACAGAUUUCAGAUAAUGGGUCAGUCCAGCUAAGCUCGUACCUUUAAUAGACUUCUUUAAAAUAUAUUACUGGGCUUUGGGACUGUGCUGUCACCAGGGAGCGAGGCCACAUGCUAAACAUCUUAAAGCAGGGGCGACAGAGAAACAGAGAAACCAGUGAAUUGGCUAGGCACGGUGGCUCACACCUGUAAUCCCAACACUUUCAGAGGCCACGGUGGGUGGAUCACUUGAGGUCAGGAGUUUGAUACCAGCCUGGCCAAUAUGGUGAAACCCUGUCUCUACAAAAAAUACAAAAAAGAUUAGCUGGACGUGGUGGUGUGAGCUUGUAAUUCCAGCUACUCGGGGCGCUGAGGCAGGAGACUCGCUUGAACCCUGGAGGCGGGGAUUGCAGUGAGCCGAGAUGGUGCCACUGCACUCCAGUUUGGGUGACACAGCAAGACUCCGUCUCAAAAAAAAAAAAAAAAAUUUCCAGCACUGAAAAUUAUAUUUCCACCCGCAGGAGAACAGACCAGGCAGGAAACAGGGUGAAUAUGUCCACUCAGGGUUUAUGGGACUGUUAGCUAAUUUAAGAACAUUGUAACAGGCAGCAUAGGUAGAAGCACCUUGAGCAUGGGACCAACCCCCACCAACCCAAGGACAUGUAGUAAAACCUGCCUUGUAAAGAAAUAGCAACAAAGGUGGACUUUGAAAAAGCUCACCUCGCUACCUGAAAGGGUGUGGUGAGGAUGGCCCUAAUACACACACUGCUGAGAGUAACGGUUGAGAACUUUCCUUUGAAGCAAUUUAUUAGUGUGUUGCCGGAGACUUUAAACGGUUUAUACCUUCCCACCCAGGAGUUCCAGGUGUAAAAUUCUAAGAAAAUAAUCAGACAAGGAUUUUUGGUUUAGAGUUUUUUAUUACAACAAACACCCACACACACCCCUAAUUGUCCAGAAACGGGUGGAUGGUUAACUACAGAAUAAGUUAUGAAUAUAUUUAAAUGAUGGACUAUUAUACAGUCAUUAAAAUAAUGUUUUGAGGAAUAGUUUGUGACAUAAAAACGCUAAUAGUAAAUUGAAGGAAAGCAGGAUAUAACACGUAUGCCCAGUGUAUGAGGCUGUUUGUGCACUGAUACAAAUAAAUGCCUGAGUCUGUCUUUAUAAAGAAAACAAGUUUAAUUUGUUCUUGGUUCUGCAAGCUGUAUAGGAAGUGGGGUGCUGGCAUCUGCUUCUGGUGAGGCCAUAGGGAAUUUACAGUCAUGGUGGAAGGCAAAGGGGAGCCUGUGUGUCACAUAGCAAGAGCAGGAACAAGAGAGAGGGGAGGUGCCGCACACCUUUAAACAAUCAGAUCUCCCAUUAGCUCACUCAUCACCACAGGAUGGCGCUAAGCCAAGCAUGAGGAAUAUGCCCCCAUGAUCCAAACACCUCCCACCAGGCCCCACCUCCAACACUGGAGAUUACAGUUCGACAUGAGAUUUGGAGGGGACAAACAUCCAAGCCAGUUCACACAGUGUACCAGCAAUUAAAAUGCACACACUUAAAAUACUAAUGAUAAUAGUAGCAGUGGCUAAUGUUGUUGGAUGCUAUAUUAGUCUGUUUUGCGAUGCUAUAAAGGAAUAGCUGAGACUGGGUAAUGUAUACAGAAAAGAAGUUUGCUUGGGUCACAGUUCUGCAUGGCACCAGCAUCUGCCUGGCUUCUAGUGAGUGUCUCAGGCUGCUUCCACUCAUGGCAGGAGGUGAAGCGGAGCCGGCCUGCACAGAUAACACGGCCAGAGAGGGAAGCAAGAGGGAGGAGGCAGGAGGUACCAGGCUCUAACAAAUGGGCCUGGGGUGAACUCAUUACCAUGGGAGGGCACCAUGCCAUUCCUGAGGGAUCCACCCCCAUGACCCAAACACCUCCCAUCAGGCCCCACCUCCAACACUGGGGGUCACAGUUUGACCUGAGAUUUGGAGGGGACAAAUAUCUAAGCCAUAUCAGAUGCUAUGAGCCGGGCAGUGUUCUACCACAUUAGUCAUUUCAUCCUCUCCUAGCCCUCUAAGGGAAGUCCUACGAUUACUAUCAUCAUCCCCAUUUUUCAGAGGAGUAAACUGGGCACAGGGGCUUGGGCAGUGUGCCCAAGGCCACACAGAGGGGUGGGCAUCUGAGGCAGGGCUUCUCAGAGGCAGUGUGGCUCCUAGGCGCUCCGCAACACCUUUACCAAAUGCUGCCAGGGGACAUCCUCAAGGACAGGGGCCAAGUCGAAUGCUUCUGAGGCAAAGGCCAAGCCCCUCAACUGAGUAUCCCAAAGACAAGACCGCCUUCAGCUUGCAAUCAGAAAGACCUGGGCUCAAAUCCGGCAUAGAUCCUUCUGACCUGUGUGAAAGCAGCAAGCUAUUUUCCUCUCUGAGCCUCAGUUUCCUCAUCUGUAAAAUGGGGAUAAAUAAUAGUACCUGCCUCCCAGGGCUAACCAGGAGAUAAAAAUGAUAAGGUGCCUGAGUCUUUAUAUUUUCUAAAUUUUCUAUAAAGGUAUAUUUUUCUUUUGUUAAAAUUAUUUUUUAUUAAAAAAUAAUAUAUUAACACAUUAAAAUAUUUCCAAAGUUUGGGGGGGUAUUAAAUAACCCAGGAGCCAGACGGAUGGGAGGAGAUGAAUCACAUUCGAUUUGAUUCAAUUAAACUGGAAGGGACUGGGGAAAGGCCAGGAGACCAGGCUUAGGGGGAAAGAUAACCUGCUCAAUUAGAAACACAUCAUGUUUCACCAGGUGUCAGAGGGACAUCCACAUAGGCGACUGAAUAGGAAGACUGUGGACACAGAGGUGUGGCAUCGAGGAGACACAUGGGCUGCAGAUAUGAAUGUGGUAUCAGCAGCAGGCAGAUGUGACCUGAAGCUAUGGAAGACAUUUACUGUUUCUGCCUGCCCUUUCCCUCUACCCCUUUUAUGGGUGACAGCAGCCCACUUUUCCCUUUGGAGAAGUACCCCACCCCUUUCCACACAGUCUUGGUGAGACAAUCAAAGUGUCCUGCCACCCAAGCAGUGGGCACAUCUGCCAAGACAGGUGUAAAGGAGGAUAUUUCUUGAGAUGAAACCAAAUGCACUUCUGUUGUGGCUAAUUCCUAAUUCCUAGUUAGCCUGCAGCUCCCUCCAGCCACUGAAUCAAUGGGAGCCAUUGCCUGGCUCUGUUUUAAAUUAGAUUUCUUGAGUCUGUGGACAUUAGUGUUAAAAUGUGACUUCGUUGAGGCAGAAACAGUUUUCCUAACUUUCAAAAUAUUCCCUUUACAGAGCAAGAGGACAACCUGGGGAUGAGAGGAUAGAGAUUUUCUAUAGGCCAUAGUGUGGAGAUGACACAGUAUAAGGUUCAGACAAGUUCCUGUACAGCAAGCAGGGCAAAAGCCUUCUGGUGCUGCCAAGGAAAAAAAAAAAGCAGGACAAGAGUUCAGGUGCAAGUGUCUACCCUCCUCGAAGGAAAACUCCUAUGUAGGACUAAGAAGCAUCUGGACAGGUUUGGGGGACAGUAGGAUCCCACUUUCCCAAGCACAGCCCAGGGAGAGAUGCCCCCCACUGACCACGUGACAGCACUAAGCUGGCACCGAAGCUGUGGUAACAGCAGCCCGUUGUCCCCUUGACCUGUGGGUGCCAUGUAGGUGGUAAUCCAGAUGUGUCCACAUGUCCCAGUGAUGUGCUAAGUGGACUGAGGGACAAAGAGAGGCCAGGUGACAAGCUGCGAGGGUUGUGGCACAUGAGGACCUCAUGGCUACAGACAGGCAAUUUUCUAAGCAGGUCCGUGUACUGCUCAGGAACUAAAUCAGGUUCACCCCAUUUUGGUAGGUUCCACCAUAAUCCGUAAUGCCCGGGGACAAAUUCCGAGCGACCACGUGGGAGUGAAGACCAGCAACAGGCAGGGAAUGGCAUCUGAGCCAUAAAGCUUACCCACUGCCCCCUUAUACCCAGAUGCCACGCCGGGAGGAUGGGAGCACACAGGAGAGAGGAGGAUCCUGAACACUGAAUAUCUGUGCAAAACAGAGCGCUGUAAACCAGAAGAGAAGGAAAUAUCCCCUCAAGUUGGGAGAAUGGAAGUUUGAGAUGAAAAUGAGAUUAGAUGAAAAUACAGGGCUGGGUGUGGUGGCUCGUGCCUGUAAUCCUAGCACUUUGGGAGGUCCAGGCGGGCAGAUCACUUGAGGUCAGGGUUCGAGACCAGCCUGGCCAACAUAGUAAAACACCCGUCUCUGCUAAAAAUGCAAAAAUUAGCCAGGAAUGGUGGCGCAUGCCUGCGGUCCCGGUUACUCGGGAGGCUGAGGCAGGAGGAUAGCUUGAACCUGGGAGGUGGAAGUUACAGUGAGCCGAGAUCGUGCCACUGCACUCCAGCCUGGGCGACAGAGCGAGACGCCAUCUCAAAAAAAAAAAAAGAAAAGAAAAAGAAAAAAUACAAAGGAAGUUACAGUUUUUGCCCCUGUGAGUAGGAGUGGGUCAAAUAUGACCCUGCCAUGAAAGCCAAUCAGUUUCUUUCCUGGGAAUUUGAAUCUUGUACGGAGAGAUGUAUCAGGAACAAAGAUGUGUGGAACUGAAUCGCCUGAGGCAAUGCUCAGAGAUUCCUGGCACCUGGGAAGGGCUCGGUCUGGCUCCCAGGCUGAUAAGGCCUAGCUGUUUAGCUUUUCCUUUUGUUGAGUGAGCUUUCUGACAUUCUUCUAGUGGAUUCCUUUUUCACUCGAGCAAGUCAGAUUUGUUUUCCAUAUUCUCCAACCCGGCAUCAUCCUGGAAGUGAAUGUGAGAUGAGAAGACAGCCAAGGCAUGGCCCCUGAGGGUCAGCAGACCGGCAAGAAAAGAGGAGCCUGCAGAGGAGAUAGAAAAGGAGGCUGUUGUGAAAGGUCCUGCUGCUUGAAUCAACUGUCAAAGGCAUCAACAGUCCCCAGUCAUGUUUCCAGAAAGCCAGUAGACAACUGGAAUUAUUUGCUGAGAUGACUGACUGACUGAUGGACUCACUGGCUCCUGUGGUGCAUUUCUUUGGCAAGAGGAUCUACAGUUCUCACCAGAUUCUCAAAGGAGUCUACGCCUGAAAACACGAGAUUCACCGAUAAGGUUCAACUUCCUCACUUACUAGAUGGAAAACUGAGAGGCCCAAAGGAGGAAAAGCAGUUGCCUCAAGACAAACAGCAGAGAUAUCAAAACCGAAGGCAUUUCAAUUCAAUUCUAAUUCUGGCUUCACACUAUUGACCCUGGCCACGUCCAAUACCUCUUCACUUCUCUGCAGGACCUAAAAGAUCACCAGGAGGCGAGGGCUGGUGUCCGA